UAGGGAAUCUUCGGCAAUGGGGGCAACCCUGACCGAGCAACGCCGCGUGAGUGAAGAAGGUUUUCGGAUCGUAAAGCUCUGUUGUAAAAGAAGAACGUGUGUGAGAGUGGAAAGUUCACACAGUGACGGUAACUUACCAGAAAGGGACGGCUAACUACGUGCCAG
rnacentral:rRNA from 1 species